rnacentral:rRNA from 1 species
CCUACGGGGGGCAGCAGUGAGGAAUAUUGGUCAAUGGGCGUAAGCCUGAACCAGCCAAGUCGCGUGAGGGAUGAAGGUUCUAUGGAUCGUAAACCUCUUUUAUAGGGGAAUAAAGUGUGGGACGUGUCCUAUUUUGUAUGUACCUUAUGAGUAAGGAUCGGCUAACUCCGUGCCAGCAGCCGCGGUAAUACGGAGGAGCCGAGCGUUAUCCGGAUUUAUUGGGUUUAAAGGGUGCGUAGGCGGCCUGUUAAGUCAGCGGUGAAAGUCUGUGGCUCAACCAUAGAAUUGCCGUUGAAACUGGGGGGCUUGAGUAUGUUUGAGGCAGGCGGAAUGCGUGGUGUAGCGGUGAAAUGCGUAGAUAUCACGCAGAACCCCGAUGGCGAAGGCAGCCUGCUAAGCCAUGACUGACGCUGAGGCACGAAAGCGUGGGGAUCAAACAGGAUUAGAUACCCGUGUAGUC